rnacentral:rRNA from 1 species
UAGGGAAUCUUCCGCAAUGGACGCAAGUCUGACGGAGCAACGCCGCGUGAGUGAAGAAGGAUUUCGGUUCGUAAAACUCUGUUGUUAGAGAAGAACAGCGCAUAGAGUAACUGUUAUGCGUGUGACGGUAUCUAACCAGAAAGCCACGGCUAACUACGUGCCAGCAGCCGCGGUAAUACGUAGGUGGCAAGCGUUGUCCGGAUUUAUUGGGCGUAAAGCGAGCGCAGGCGGUCAAUUAAGUCUGAUGUGAAAGCCCCCGGCUCAACCGGGGAGGGUCAUUGGAAACUGGUUGACUUUAGUGCAGAAGGGGAGAGUGGAAUUCCAUGUGUAGCGGUGAAAUGCGUAGAUAUAUGGAGGAACACCGGUGGCGAAAGCGGCUCUCUGGUCUGUAACUGACGCGGAGGCUCGAAAGCGUGGGGAGCGAACAGG